AUUGAACGCUGGCGGCAGGCCUAACACAUGCAAGUCGAACGAGUGGCGGACGGGUGAGUAAUGUCUGGGAAACUGCCCGAUGGAGGGGGAUAACUACUGGAAACGGUAGCUAAUACCGCAUACCAUCGGAUGUGCACAGAUGGGAUUAGCUAGUAGGUGGGGUAACGGCUCACCUAGGCGACGAUCCCUAUCUGGUCUGAGCGGAUGACCAGCAACACUGGAAAGGAGACACGGUCCAGACUCCUACGGGAGGCAGAAGUGGGGAAUAUUGCACAGUGGGCGCAGGCCUGAAGCAGCCAUGCCGCGUGUAUAAAGAAGGCCUUCGGGUUGUAAAGUACUUUCAGCGAGGAGACGUUACUCGCAGAAGAAGCACCGGCUAACUCCGUGCCAGCAGCCGCGGUAAUUC
rnacentral:rRNA from 1 species